CCUUCGAUAGCUCAGCUGGUAGAGCGGAGGACUGUAGAAGUGCAGCUGAAGCCUGUGGGCAUCCUUAAGUCGCUGGUUUGAUUCUGGCUCGAAGGA
rfam:Alligator mississippiensis ScZkoYb_35, whole genome shotgun sequence.